ACGCACGCUGGCGGCGUGCUUCACACCUGCCAGUCGAACGGAAAGGCCCUGCUUGCAGGGUACUCGAGUGGCGAACGGGUGAGUAACACGUGGGUGAUCUGCCCUGCACUUCGGGAUAAGCUUGGGAAACUGGGUCUAAUACCGGAUAGGAACCAUCUUUAGUGUGGUGGUUGGAAAGUUUUUUCGGUGUAGGAUGAGCUCGCGGCCUAUCAGCUUGUUGGUGGGGUAAUGGCCUACCAAGGCGGCGACGGGUAGCCGGCCUGAGAGGGUGUACGGCCACAUUGGGACUGAGAGACGGCCCAGACUCCUACGGGAGGCAGCAGUGGGGAAUAUUGCACAAUGGGCGCAAGCCUGAUGCAGCGACGCCGCGUGGGGGAUGAAGGCCUUCGGGUUGUAAACUCCUUUCGCUAGGGACGAAGCUUUGUUGUGACGGUACCUAGAUAAGAAGCACCGGCUAACUACGUG
rnacentral:rRNA from 1 species